CCUACGGGAGGCAGCAGUGGGGAAUAUUGGGCAAUGGGCGCAAGCCUGACCCAGCAACGCCGCGUGAAGGAAGAAGGCUUUCGGGUUGUAAACUUCUUUUGACAGGGAAGAGUAGAAGACGGUACCUGUCGAAUAAGCCACGGCUAACUACGUGCCAGCAGCCGCGGGAAUACGGAGGGGGCAAGCGUUGUCCGGAUUUACUGGGUGUACAGGGCGUGUAGCCGGGUUGACAAGUCAGAUGUGAAAUCCUGCGGCUUAACCGCAGAACUGCAUUGGAAACUGUUGGUCUUGAGUACUGGAGAGGCAGACGGAAUUCCUAGUGUAGCGGUGAAAUGCGUAGAUAUUAGGAGGAACACCAGUGGCGAAGGCGGUCUGCUGGACAGCAACUGACGGUGAGGCGCGAAAGCGUGGGGAGCAAACAGGAUUAGAUACCCUGGUAGUC
rnacentral:rRNA from 1 species